UUUGUGCUAUAGGAGCCACCCGUGUGC
rnacentral:sRNA from 1 species